rnacentral:rRNA from 1 species
UACGUAGGGGGCGAGCGUUGUCCGGAUUUAUUGGGCGUAAAGGGCGCGCAGGCGGCUCGGAAAGUCGGGUGUGAAAACUCGGGGCUCAACCCCGGGCGUGCAUCCGAUACUGCCGGGCUUGAGGCAGGUAGGGGAGAUCGGAAUUCCUGGUGUAGCGGUGAAAUGCGCAGAUAUCAGGAGGAACACCGGUGGCGAAGGCGGGUCUCUGGGCCUGUCCUGACGCUGAGGCGCGAAAGCUAGGGGAGCGAACAGG